rnacentral:rRNA from 1 species
AAUGGGUCAGCGACUUAUAUUCUGUAGCAAGGUUAACCGAAUAGGGGAGCCGAAGGGAAACCGAGUCUUAACUGGGCGUUAAGUUGCAGGGUAUAGACCCGAAACCCGGUGAUCUAGCCAUGGGCAGGUUGAAGGUUGGGUAACACUAACUGGAGGACCGAACCGACUAAUGUUGAAAAAUUAGCGGAUGACUUGUGGCUGGGGGUGAAAGGCCAAUCAAACCGGGAGAUAGCUGGUUCUCCCCGAAAGCUAUUUAGGUAGCGCCUCGUGAAUUCAUCUCCGGGGGUAGAGCACUGUUUCGGCAAGGGGGUCAUCCCGACUUACCAACCCGAUGCAAACUGCGAAUACCGGAGAAUGUUAUCACGGGAGACACACGGCGGGUGCUAACGUCCGUCGUGAAGAGGGAAACAACCCAGACCGCCAGCUAAGGUCCCAAAGUCAUGGUUAAGUGGGAAACGAUGUGGGAAGGCCCAGACAGCCAGGAUGUUGGCUUAGAAGCAGCCAUCAUUUAAAGAAAGCGUAAUAGCUCACUGGUCGAGUCGGCCUGCGCGGAAGAUGUAACGGGGCUAAACCAUGCACCGAAGCUGCGGCAGCGACG